CUGCUCUCAAUUCCAUUGGGUCAUUAUCCGGCGCGUGAGUGGCACGCGCUGUCGGGUGGGCUUGAACGCGUCGAUAUUGAACCCGAGAUUACCGCGGACUUGAGGAAUGAGAGCAACGACCUAGAUGGCAACAACUGCACUAUACCGCCAGACAGACGCAUCGAUUUAUACCCGCCAGACCGGUAUCACAACAGCGCGUUACUCAAAAUGGAAUCUUUGCAAUCAGCUGGUCCGACACGUCAGGUACGAAGACGACCAGGGACACGGGGACUGGACAAACGGGUGGUCAGUGCGGCAAGGGAGGCGAUACAGAGCGGCUCCCUCAUCCCACUAAUAAAGGAGGAGCUGUGGUGUAAGAUCCAGUCCAGGCGUCUAUCGGAGGGACAGGGGGGAAUUAACGCUGCUUCCAACACCCCCAGUCACAUCCAAGCUGACGCCCGAUGACGUAGAAAAACGUUGCCUUAGACGUCAGCAGAACAAGAACGCAGCAAGGCGCUUCAGGGCCAAGGAGAAGGUCAAGGGCAAUCAAUUACAACAGAAAAUAUCGAGGUUGGAAGAAGACAAAGUAUCCUUGGAGGCAUUGCGUGAAAAUCUACGUCAAGAGAAGAUCGGACUUGUUUCAAAGCUGAAGGAACACCUCGUGCAGUGCACAACUUUUGAUGACGUAUUUCACCAUCAUAUCCUUUCACUUCACAGACAGCCUUCUGACGACACAAUAAGCGACCAUCCAACAGUAUCGUGAUGAAACUAAGGACUUUAAUGUGCAUGUCAUGGACAUUAUAUUACCAUGACAAUGGGACCAUUGAUACGUCAUAAGUGACGUCAUUUAUCUGUUACGGUUGUGGGACAUUUCCGCUUCGAAUCCUGCCGGAAGUGGAAUAAACAUUUCUCUAACUUUCCCUCCAACGACCCUUUUGGGUGAAACCAACGUUACUCGAUCUUAACACGUUUUACUGGAAUACGCUUUCAGAGAUAUAAGACAAUUCCAUUUUAGCCUUGUGGUAGAACUGAGGAUAUUUAUGAACUGUGAUGAGUGAGUGAGUGGGUUGGGUUUAACACCCACUUGUACAGUAUUCUCGAUAUAUCACGGUGUGUCAUGGUAACCCCCACGUGAUGCAGAAAAUUAGACAUUUACCACGAACUGAUGCUCAGCUGUUGUAAAUGUUUUCAUGUCAUGGUGACCUAAAGUGUGGCAGUGUUACUUUAAACAUACGUUCGAAAUCAAGCAGUUUAUCAAUCAGAAAAUCACUAUCGACGAAUGCUAACCGGAACCGGAUGUAUUUGCAUAUGUGUAAAACACGAAAAUAUCAACAAGCUGCUAAAACAACAGAUGCAUAUCUUUAUAUUUGCCUAUCAUGAUGCAGGGAUAUUCAGUUUGAAAGUGUUAACAGACACUUGUGUUGAUAUAGUACAGUUGCACUACAAUAUGUCAAAUGACAGCGUUCACUGCACCGCUGUAAACCACUGGCUGUCAAUGUGAAGGUCGGAAAACAAAGCGGUAUGACAUCCGGGUGCCUGGAGCUAAAUGACGUGAUUUGUCAGCCUGUGUUUGGGACACCUGUAGGUGUUGGAAGUAUUUUAUAUCGUCUCGACGGGUGGUAAGGAUAACGGAACCGAUUCGUAAAUGUACAGUUUCGAAAUAAAAGAGGUUCGCGAGGAAA